UGGGGAAUUUUGGACAAUGGAUCCAAGUCUGAUCCAGCCAUGCCGCGUGCGGGAAGAAGGCCUUCUGGUUGUAAACCUCUUUUGUCAGGGAAGAAAUGAGUUUCUCUAAUACAGAGACUUAAUGACGGUACCUGAAGAAUAAGCACCGUCUAACUACGUGCCAGCAGCCGCGGUAAUACGUAGGCUGCAAGCGUUAAUCGGAAUUACUGGGCGUAAAGCGUGCGCAGGCGGUUUAGUAAGACAGGCGUGAAAGCCCCGGGCUCAACCUGGGAACUGCGCUUGUGACUGCUUAGCUAGAGUACGGCAGAGGGGGGUGGAAUUCCACGUGUAGCAGUGAAAUGCGUAGAUAUGCGGAGGAACACCGAUGGCGAAGGCAAUCCCCUGGACCUGUACUGACGCUCAUGCACGAAAGCGUGGGGAGCAAACA
rnacentral:rRNA from 1 species